rnacentral:rRNA from 1 species
AUGCAAGUCGAACGUGAAGCCGUUGAACAAUCUUUCGGGAGAGUGAUUCGGUGGAAAGUGGCGGAAGGGUGAGUAACGCGUGGGUGAGCUGUCUCGAAGUUGGGGACAACCAGAUGAAAAUCUGGCUAAUACCGAAUGUGGUCUUCUGGCGCAUGUCAGGAUGACUAAAGGUGGGGAUUCUUCGGAACCUGCCGCUUUGAGAGGUGCCCGCGUGCCAUCAGCUUGUUGGUAGGGUAAUGGCCUACCAAGGCUUACGGCUAGCCGGCCAGAGAGGGUGAUCGGCCACACUGGGACUGAGACACUGCCCAGACUCCUACGGGAGGCUGCAGUCGAGGAUCAUUCGCAAUGCGCGAAAGCGUGACGAUGCGACGCUGCGUGGGGGAUGAAGGCCUUCGGGUCGUAAACUCCUGUCAUGAGGGAACAGUAUCCCUGUAAUUAAUAGUUGCGGGGCUCGAUGGUACCUCAAGAGGAAGCCACGGCUAACUCUGUGCCAGCAGCCGCGGUAAUACAGAGGUGGCGAGCGUUGUUCGGAUUUACUGGGCGUAAAGGGUGCGUAGGUGGUUUUGUGUGUCGGAUGUGAAAUCCCAUGGCUCAACUGUGGAAUUGCAUUCGAAACUGCGGAACUAGAGUGCAGGAUGGGAGAGCGGAAUUCUUGGUGUAGCGGCGAAAUGCGUUGUUAUCAAGAAGAACACCGGUGGCGAAGGCGGCUCUCUGGAAUGCUACUGACACUGAGGCACGAAAGCUGGGGGAGCGAACAGGAUUAGAUACCCUGGUAGUCCCAGCCGUAAACGGUGCACACUUGGUGUGGGGAGAUUUAACCCUCUCCGUGCCGGAGUUAACGCGUUAAGUGUGCCGCCUGGGGAGUACGGCCGCAAGGCUAAAACUCAAAGAAAUUGACGGGGGCCCGCACAAGCGGAGGAGCAUGUGGCUUAAUUCGAUGCAACGCGAAGAACCUUACCAGGGCUUGACAUGGGGACCCUUCGGGGGUGGUAGUGAAAGUUACCUUUACCAUCACAGGUGCUGCAUGGCUGUCGUCAGUUCGUGCCGUGAGGUGUUGGGUUAAGUCCCGUAACGAACGCAACCCUUGUGGCUAGUUGCCACCGGUGGUGAUGAGCCGCCGAGCACUCUAGCCAGACUGCCCGUACAAGCGGGAGGAAGGUGGGGAUGACGUCAAGUCAGUAUGGCCCUUACGUCCUGGGCUGCACACGUGCUACAAUGGUUGGUACAGUGGGAUGCAAUACCGCGAGGUGGAGCAAAUCCCCAAAGCCGCCCUCAGUUCGGAUUGAAGUCUGCAACUCGACUUCAUGAAGUUGGAUUCGCUAGUAACGGCGCAUCAGCUACGGCGCCGUGAAUACGUUCCCGGGCCUUGUACACACCGCCCGUCACAUCAUGAAAGCCGUCUGCACCCGAAGUCGCUGAGCCAACCAUUUAUGGAGGCAGGUGCCGAAGGUGUGGGUGGUGAUUGGGAUGAA